rnacentral:rRNA from 1 species
UACGAAGGGGGCUAGCGUUGUUCGGAAUUACUGGGCGUAAAGCGCGCGCAGGUGGUCUUUCAAGUCAGUGGUGAAAGCCCGGAGCUCAACUCCGGAAAUGCCAUUGAAACUGUGAGACUUGAGGACGAGAGAGGUGAGUGGAAUUCCCGAGUGUAGAGGUGAAAUUCGUAGAUAUUGGGAAGAACACCGGUGGCGAAGGCGGCUCACUGGCUCAUUUCUGACGCUCAGGCGCGACAGCGUGGGGAUCAAACAGG